CACGUAGGGCGCGAGCGUUGUCCGGAAUUAUUGGGCGUAAAGAGCUCGUAGGCGGCCUGUUGCGUCCGCUGUGAAAGCCCGGGGCUUAACCCCGGGUCUGCAGUGGAUACGGGCAGGCUAGAGGUAGGCAGGGGAGAAUGGAAUUCCCGGUGUAGCGGUGAAAUGCGCAGAUAUCGGGAGGAACACCGGUGGCGAAGGCGGUUCUCUGGGCCUUACCUGACGCUGAGGAGCGAAAGCGUGGGGAG
rnacentral:rRNA from 1 species